CCUACGGGUGGCAGCAGUGGGGAAUAUUGGGCAAUGGGCGCAAGCCUGACCCAGCAACGCCGCGUGAAGGAAGAAGGCUUUCGGGUUGUAAACUUCUUUUAAGAGGGAAGAGCAGAAGACGGUACCCCUUGAAUAAGCCACGGCUAACUACGUGCCAGUAGCCGCGGUAAAACGUAGGGGGCAAGCGUUUUCCGGAUUUACUGGGUGUAAAGGGAGUGCAGCCGGUAAGCCAAGUCAGAUGUGAAAUACCGCGGCUCAACCGCGGAACUGCAUUUGAAACUGUUUUUCUUGAGUACCGGAGAGGUCAUCGGAAUUCCUUGUGUAGCGGUGAAAUGCGUAGAUAUAAGGAAGAACACCAGUGGCGAAGGCGGAUGACUGGACGGCAACUGACGGUGAGGCGCGAAAGCGUGGGGAGCAAACAGGAUUAGAUACCCUAGUAGUC
rnacentral:rRNA from 1 species